GAGUUUGAUCCUGGCUCAGAUUGAACGCUGGCGGCAGGCCUAACACAUGCAAGUCGAACGGUAACAGGAAGAAGCUUGCUUCUUUGCUGACGAGUGGCGGACGGGUGAGUAAUGUCUGGGAAACUGCCUGAUGGAGGGGGAUAACUACUGGAAACGGUAGCUAAUACCGCAUAACGUCGCAAGACCAAAGAGGGGGACCUUCGGGCCUCUUGCCAUCGGAUGUGCCCAGAUGGGAUUAGCUAGUAGGUGGGGUAACGGCUCACCUAGGCGACGAUCCCUAGCUGGUCUGAGAGGAUGACCAGCCACACUGGAACUGAGACACGGUCCAGACUCCUACGGGAGGCAGCAGUGGGGAAUAUUGCACAAUGGGCGCAAGCCUGAUGCAGCCAUGCCGCGUGUAUGAAGAAGGCCUUCGGGUUGUAAAGUACUUUCAGCGGGGAGGAAGGGAGUAAAGUUAAUACCUUUGCUCAUUGACGUUACCCGCAGAAGAA
rnacentral:rRNA from 1 species